GAUGAACGCUGGCGGCGUACCUAAUACAUGCAAGUCGAGCGAACAGACGAGGAGCUUGCUCCUCUGACGUUAGCGGCGGACGGGUGAGUAACACGUGGAUAACCUACCUAUAAGACUGGGAUAACUUCGGGAAACCGGAGCUAAUACCGGAUAAUAUAUUGAACCGCAUGGUUCAAUAGUGAAAGACGGUUUUGCUGUCACUUAUAGAUGGAUCCGCGCCGCAUUAGCUAGUUGGUAAGGUAACGGCUUACCAAGGCGACGAUGCGUAGCCGACCUGAGAGGGUGAUUGGCCACAUUGGAACUGAGACACGGUCCAGACUCCGACGGGAGGCAGCAGUAGGGAAUCUUCCGCAAUGGGCGAAAGCCUGACGGAGCAACGCCGCGUGAGUGAUGAAGGUCUUCGGAUCGUAAAACUCUGUUAUUAGGGAAGAACAAAUGUGUAAGUAACUAUGCACGUCUUGACGGUACCUAAUCAGAAAGCCACGGCUAACUACGUG
rnacentral:rRNA from 1 species